GCUCCCCUACUGUGCAUCUGUUUUCAAAACUGCUAAUCCACCUUGUUGUUUGUUCCCCCCUCUCAGUGCUUGGGCAGUUUGAGCCGGCAGAUUCAUUCGACCUGAGCACUGCUUUUAGCAUCCACGAAGGUACAGCGCCAGCUGGCCAUGUGCUUCUCCAGUUUCCUUCUUCGGUCCAGCUGAUCUUCACGAAACAGCUAGAGGCAGGAAACGUGGAGCAAUCUGGAUGUGGCACGAGAGUUAUUGGUCCAAAGCCAGCUGUGAUCCGAAUAGCAGAACCUGUCCACUCUGAAAGUCCUAAGCCAAGAUCCAGAACUGCAAAGGAGCGGCAUAAGUGCCACCUGUGCACGAAGAGCUUUGUCACGUUGCGGGACCUGCGCACGCACCUGCUGAAGCACCAGGGUCACAAGCCAUUCCACUGCCACCUCUGCCCAGCCACCUUUCUGGCACGUGGCUAUCUGGCUGACCAUCUUCAGAGUCACUCGAAGACCAAGCGGUGGAAGUGCGACGAAUGUCCACGGUCGUUCCUGCGCCCUGCACAGCUUGCUCGACACAGAGAGCGCAGCCACUCCAAUGUGUUGUGAAUGCUACCGCAGUGCUUUGCACUGGUGCCUCUGAACAAUUUGGCUAAUAAAGUGCUGCAUGAUGUUUUUUUAUUUGUGCAA